CAGAUAUUAUACAUGGAAAAAUGCUGCCCCAAGAAAAGCACAAUAACCAUUAGGUAGAAGAGGAUAUGCGUCCAUAGAAUACAAUACUAUUCAAUCAAUCUAACAAUCAAAUAGCUAGUUUCUUAGAUACCAUGUGUGUGUCCACAAUUAGACCCUGUCGUAACCCAACAUUCAUGCAGACUUAACAACAAGCUGAGCACCAAAUUAAUGUAAAGAAGCAGCAACCGGGUGAUCAUCCAAAUAACUUGUCUAG
rnacentral:misc_RNA from 1 species